rnacentral:rRNA from 1 species
AUUGAACGCUGGCGGCAGGCCUAACACAUGCAAGUCGAACGCGUCGCGGACGGGUGAGUAAUGUCUGGGAAACUGCGCGAGGGGGGGGGAUAACUACUGGAAACGGUAGCUAAUACCAUAUACUAUAGUAUGUGCCCAGAUGGGAUUAGCUAGGAGGUGGGGUAACGGCUCACCUAGGCGACGACCCCUAGCUGGUCUGAGAGGAUGACCAGCCACACUGGAACUGAGACACGGUCCAGACUCCUACGGGAGGCAGCAGUGGGGAAUAUGGCACAAUGGGCGCAAGCCUGAUGCAGCCAUGCCGCGUGUAUGAAGAAGGCCUUCGGGUUGUAAAGUACUUUCAGUGGGGAGGCGUUACUCGCAGAAGAAGCACCGGCUAACUCCGUGCCAGCAGCCGCGGUAAGUC